rnacentral:rRNA from 1 species
GACAGAGGAGACAAGCGUUGUUCGGAAUUACUGGGCUUAAAGCGCGCGUAGGCGGCCAAGUAAGUGUCCCGUGAAAUCCCAUGGCUCAACCAUGGACCUGCGGGGCAUACUGCUUGGCUUGAGGUCGGUAGGGGUGCCUGGAACUCUAGGUGGAGCGGUGAAAUGCGUAGAUAUCUAGAGGAACACCUGAGGUGAAGACGGGUUGCUGGGCCAACACUGACGCUGAGGCGCGAAAGCCAGGGGAGCAAACGGG